rnacentral:tRNA from 1 species
GACCGCGUAGCUCAGUUGGCAGAGCAUUUGGCUAGUAUUCCAAAGGUCGUAGGUUCGAUUCCCACCGUGGUCA